CAGUCGCCGCGGUAAUACGAAGGGUGCAAGCGUUAAUCGGAAUUACUGGGCGUAAAGCGUGCGUAGGCGGUUUGUUAAGUCUGCUGUGAAAUCCCCGGGCUCAACCUGGGAAUGGCAGUGGAUACUGGCAAGCUAGAGUAUGUCAGAGGAUGGUGGAAUUCCCGGUGUAGCGGUGAAAUGCGUAGAUAUCAGGAGGAACACCGAUGGCGAAGGCAGAUCUCUGGGCCGUAACUGACGCUGAGGAGCGAAAGCGUGGGGAGCGAACAGGAUUAGAUACCCCAGUAGUCCCUGUCUCUUAUAC
rnacentral:rRNA from 1 species